AUGGAGAAGGCGGCGAGGCGCCCAAGCAAGAAGGCUCGCAGGACGCCUGCCGACUCCGACGGCCUGACGGCGCUCGCCCUCCGCCUCUCCAAAAAAUUCUCAGGCCGCGAGGAGUACGAGGGCCAGAACAUCAUGUUCUCGCCGCUGUCCAUCUACACCGCCUUGGGCCUCCUGGCGGCCGGCGCCCAGGGCGACACUCUGGACGAGAUCCUGGCCGUGCUCGGUGCGACGUCGCGCGACGAGGUCGCGGCGGUCAUGCGACUAGUGUCCAAGCACGCCCUCGCCGCCGACGAUCCCUCCGGCCCGCUGGUCGUUACGUCCGCGUGCAGCGUGUGGUGCCACAAAGAUCUGCCGCUGAAGCCGGCCUACCGGAAGGCCGCCGUCAAGUCCUACAAGGCGGACGCACGCGCCGUCGACUUUGUGAGAAAGCCGGAGGAUGCGAGGAAGGAGAUCAACCGGUGGGUCGCCAAGGCCACGAAGAAGCUCAUCACCUCCGUCCUACCACGGGGCUCAGUGCACGGCCACACCAGGCUCGUGCUUACCAAUGCCAUCUACAUCAAGGGCAAGUGGGAGAACGCCUUCAGCAAGAGCCGCACCAAAGACGACACGUUCCACCGCCUCGACGGCAGCACCGUCCGCGUGCCCUUCAUGGACGGAAACGGACGCGACAAGUACCUGGUGUCCACAUUUGACGGGUUCAAGGUGCUUAAGCUCCCCUACAAGAAGGCGGCCAACAACGGCGCCACUUAUUCGAUGUGUGUCUUCCUCCCGACCGCGCGAGACGGGCUGCGUAGCCUUGCCGACGAGAUGGCGACCGGCGGGCCAAGCUUCCUGUUCGACCACCUGCCGACUCAGUCUAGGAGCGUGACCAAGCUCCGGCUACCCAAGUUCAAGCUGUCCUUCUUCUGUAGCAUGAAGAAAGUUCUCGAGAGCUUGGGGCUCCGGGCGGCGUUCAGCGGGGAGGCCGAUCUGUCUGACAUGGUGGACAAGGACUCGGCCGGAAACGACGUGCCGCUGCGGGUAGAGGAUGUGUUUCACAGGGCGGUUGUGGAAGUGAACGAGGAAGGCACCGAGGCGGCUGCAUUCACCGCCGUCAUGACCGUAUUAUAUUGUUGGACCCCUCCGUCCGUGCCUGUUGAUUUUGUAGCAGACCAUCCAUUUGCCUUCUACAUAGUUGAGGAGGUGUCCCGUGCGGUGGUCUUUGCCGGUCACGUCCUCGACCCUUCUGAAACCGAGUGA
rnacentral:rRNA from 1 species